rnacentral:rRNA from 1 species
UACGUAGGGCGCAAGCGUUGUCCGGAAUUAUUGGGCGUAAAGAGCUCGUAGGCGGCUUGUCACGUCGGUUGUGAAAGCCCGGGGCUUAACCCCGGGUCUGCAGUCGAUACGGGCAGGCUAGAGUGUGGUAGGGGAGAUCGGAAUUCCUGGUGUAGCGGUGAAAUGCGCAGAUAUCAGGAGGAACACCGGUGGCGAGGGCGGAUCUCUGGGCCAUUACUGACGCUGAGGAGCGAAAGCGUGGGGAGCGAACAGG